UCAUCGUAAUGAUUUCCAUAUUGUUAGACUGCUCGUCGGUCCCAGUAUUAUAAUAUUAUCGUUAUUAGUUAUAAGCCAUGUGAGCGCGUAAUUAUUUCCUUGUUCGAUUCUAUUUACACAGUAAAUUUGCAUUGAUUUAGCCGAAAACUUGCGCGCGACCAGCACCGGACGAUAAUAAUACAGUAAUUUUCACAUCUCGAGUAUGCAGCGCACACCGUACACACAUUUGUAAGUAUCGCCCGUGACCCGUUCGCACGACUGCCACGAUUUGUGGUAUAGGUAGGUAUCUACGUUGAUAUAAUAGUUUCAAUCA